CCCUGUCUCUCUGCCCCUCCCCUGCUCACACUCUGUCUCUCUUGCUCUCAACAAUAAACGGACAUUAAAAAAAAUUUUUUAAACAGGACAUGUGCUCUCCACUUUGCCACAGUCUCUACCACUCCUUAUCAUGUUAUGCAGGACCCAUAUAUUAUUCACUUCCAUUGCCUUCUCAGCCCCUCUACACAUUGGCAUCUUAGGUCUAUUUUAGGAAUUCUGUGGCUAAAAAGGUAGACCACAAUCAAGCUUGACUUUCAGGCUAAGGAAUUUGGUCUUCAUUCUAUAGGAAAUAGAGAGCCAUUAAUUUUUUAGUAGGGUAGCCAAGGCUUAAAGCAACUCUUUCAAAAAUGAUUCUGACUUUUAUUUGAAACUAAGGAUGAGGAGGGGAGAAUGGAGGCAGGGGGCUGGUGAAGGGGUAACCUUAAAUUUCAUUGUCUCAGGAAAUGGAAGCUGGGCCUAGGCUGUGAAAUGAGUGGGUCUGGCCUACAUGGCCUCCAGACAUGCAGUUAAGAACAGGAUUGGGAGCCUUGGGCAGUGCAAGGACAAGUAGAAAGCCAAAUCUGGACUGGAAAUGCAUGGUCAUCAGUGAGGUGAAGCUAACUGGCCUAGAGCCUAGAGGGACUUUUUGAAGCAGAGACUCAAGGCCCUUAAAUAAGGGCCUACAAGCAGGAAGGGAACCAUCAGAGCUGGUUCUGGCCAGGCAGGCAAAGGUAAUACCAAGGUGGUGGUUGUGGGAAUGGAAAUAGCUGGAGAGAUGUAAAAGCCAUUUAGAAGGAAGAUCCAGUGAUACUGGUAGCUACUAGGAAAGGGGGUCUUAAGGAGGAAUAAAAAAAAAAUGAUUCUAAGACUCCUAACUUGGGAGCCAAAGAAGAUAGUGGUGAGGUGGAAGAAGAAAUUUUUGAGUAUAUGAAAUAUGAGGUGCCAUCAGGAUGCCCAGUAGGCACUGGAAGGACUGACGUUUAGAGAGGUGUAGGCUGAAAGUAAUACUAGGGUAUCAUCUUGCACAAAGAUGAGAGAUGAAGAUAGAGAAAAGGAAGACGGAGGGAGAGAAGGAGAGUAAAGAGUAAAUCUUAGGGUGAAUUUAAAUUUAGGAUGUCCAUGAAAGUACCACAAAUGGUCUGAUAUGGAGGAAGAGAAACAUUUAGCUCCAUGCUGGUUAAGGAGCAAGGGGCAAGGCCAUAGUGUUGUCACAACCUUUAAAGACCACAGCAAAUGAGGACCAAGAAACAGAAGCAGAGCCAAAGUAGUAUUUUCUAGAAAGAGGAUCUCCACAUUCAUUCAUUCAACAAGUAUUUAUUGAGAACCUAGCUUUUAUCCAGGCCCUGAACAAACGGAGGUGGGCCAAACAGAGACCCUAUGCUGAUGGAACUUACAUCCUGCUGGAGAAGACAGACAUUACACAAAGACUGAUCGUGGUCAGUUACCAAGAGAAACAAAGCAGGAUCCCUGUGGAAUAGCUGUUGAUUUUAGAGAAGGGUGAAUUUGUCAAUGUUGAAAGACGACCCACUUGGGAAGAAAACUUGAUUUUCUGUUUCCAGUGUAUGACAGAAAAAUGUUGACCUCUCCAGACCUCAAGGAUAUAUGUAAAACAGAGAGCUUUUUACCUCA